rnacentral:rRNA from 1 species
AUACGAAGGGUGCGAGCGUUAAUCGGAAUUACUGGGCGUAAAGCGUACGUAGGCGGUUUGCUAAGUCAGAUGUGAAAGCCCCGGGCUUAACCUGGGAACUGCAUUUGAUACUGGCAGACUAGAGUAUGAUAGAGGGGGGUAGAAUUCCUGGUGUAGCGGUGAAAUGCGUAGAUAUCAGGAGGAAUACCAGUGGCGAAGGCGGCCCCCUGGAUCAAUACUGACGCUGAGGUACGAAAGCGUGGGGAGCGAACAGGAUUAGAUACCCUAGUAGUCC